UAGAGAAAAUGAAAGAGCUUUCAAUUAACUCAAUCCUCAAAAUAGUUCUAUUAGGGGCUGGAUGUUAGCUGACCACUGUGACUUCUGUGGAUCGUAUGAAGCUGAGAUGUGCUACUGGUUGUAGCCUUUAUAGGCUGGCUUAUAUGUCAACUUCAGAUUUAGCAGCAGGCAAACUGAGAACACUUACACAUAGACCAAUACAUUCAUCCAUUCAAUCUACUUUUAUUCCGGAAGACAUUUAAGUACACUG
rnacentral:lncRNA from 1 species